ACUUGCAGGGGGGGGUAGGGAAUGCCAGACCUCCAGCCAUAGGAAACUAAGGUUCAUUAGUGCCACAACUCGAUGAAGGAGCCUGGGCUUCAAGCUGAGAGCGUCCCUUGAAGCUGCGUCUGGGGGGACCCUUUGAUUUGGUUAAUUAGACACAAAGUUUUUCUGUGCUGUGGGAGGCCGGGUAUGUGCUGAGGAGCAGCACAGCAACCUGGGUUUACUAAUGAGAUAAUUUAUUGUGGCUGUCUGAGAAGGCUGAGUGUACACAACUCCACCCGUGCACAUGCCACCCACUCCAAGCCCUCUGCUCCCAGCUGGAGAGUCCUCAGCGCUGGAGCUGGGAGCACUGGUUGGUCUCCUGCACAGGGCCCUGCAUGGGGAGCUGUCCUCCCCUCGGGGCACCUGUGAAGCAGGGCCCUGUUUUUCACUGCUUGCCUGGCCAAACUGCCCAACUCCCCUAUUUUUCAGCCUAAAUGUGAUCUUUGAUGGAAUCAAUUCAGUAGCUCUGUCUCUGCCUGCUUCCCCUGCUCCAGAAGAUCCCUCCUUAUGUAGUUCAAGCGUUAGGGCUUGCCUACACUUGAGCAUUAGUUCUGGAUUAAGGGACAUACAUAUCUGAAAGGCAGUAGAGAAUUCCUAAACUCUGCUGGAAAGAUUUACUCAAAACCAGUCAUUUUGGAAUAACCUGGUGCACUGGCCACCCUUUGUGUCCCCUCCUGAUGGCAGCAGGAUCAGGUAAGACAAGAUUUGUAAAAAGCAGGUCUGUUUUUUCCAACUGCUCUCUCCACUGUUGCUCUAAAAGCAGAUAGUGAUCUCCUCCUUCAGACUUUCCCUCACUUAAAUCCUCUCGAUGUCACAAAGAGACACAGGAAUUCCCCACGUGUUGGGGUUGCAGGGGCUUAUGUCACAGGUAAGGAAUGCAACACCUGGCCCCCUCGGGUCCCCAAACCUGCCCCUGCCCCUCCAGCAGGUGACACAGCGCCUGUCUGCCUCUACCAGGCUGCAGAUCCUCGGGGUGUUUGCUCAGGGGAGCAGGGCCACCCACAAGUGACACGUUUCCACAGAAGCCUCUCCAUGCCACAUUGCAGAGCAUCCCUUCCCCGUCCCUGUCCCCGGCCACCACCCGCAGAAGCCACCAGGAGAUGCUGGCCAUGGAGCCUGCUGCCUCCCCAGCUGCAGGGGCACAUUUCCUGCAGUCCUGCCUCACCCCAUUGCCCCAAGGGAUAAGGAAGCAGCAGGAUGAGUCUCUUUGCAGCCAAAACACCACGCUGUGAAAUGAAGUGACUGUACUGCAAGAGAUGAGAAAAGGGAGGAAGAAAAAGCACAGUGUCUAACCAGAGGAGCUGCAGAUGGCCAGAUGUGACUGCAAGGGAAGGGAACUAAGGCACAACAGAAUGCUGUUUCAGCUUUCAAGUCUUGUGCUCCCAGGAUCUACAUGCCAUUUCUUGGAUGUGGUUUGCCCCGAGGGCAAU